GAAAAAUGGCAGCUGCUGCAUGAGUGAACUUGUGCAGUAGAGUGUACCUAAAGGAAAUCCAAACUGUGCCCUCCAUCUUGUGGGUGAAAACAUUCACACAGAUACAGCAUUAUCUAAAGAAGUAGGG